AUUUAUCAAAGCAUUGUAAACAGGCACGCUAGGUUGAAAUUUCAUGGCAAGAUCCCUUGCCUCCUCCACCUACCAAUCUUGCACAUAGAAGAUAUCACAGUUGUAUAGCUAAUCACGUCAGGAUUACAUCCUUUGUCAGACAUUUCCACAAGGAACUUGCAUGCCCCAUCAACCCUAUUGUUCUUACACAAUCCCUUCAAAAGGAUGUCAUAGGUAUAAACAUUCGGUUCCAUCCCA
rnacentral:misc_RNA from 1 species